GCAGUUGUGGCCGAGUGGUUAGGGCGAUGGACCAGAAAUCUAUUGGGGUCCCCCCCGCACAGGUUCGAAUCCUGUCGACUGCG
rfam:Ixodes scapularis strain Wikel colony gcontig_1108379280144, whole genome shotgun sequence.